rnacentral:rRNA from 1 species
UGCCAGCAGCCGCGGUAAGACGAACCGUCCAAACGUUAUUCGGAAUUACUGGGCUUAAAGGGUGCGUAGGCGGUUUGGAAAGUUGGGUGUGAAAUCCCUCGGCUCAACCGAGGAAUUGCGCUCAAAACUUCCAAACUUGAGGGAGGUAGAGGUGAGCGGAACUUAAGGUGGAGCGGUGAAAUGCGUUGAUAUCUUAAGGAACACCGGUGGCGAAAGCGGCUCACUGGACCUCUUCUGACGCUGAGGCACGAAAGCUAGGGUAGCGAACGGGAUUAGAUA